AAUCCAUAGGUUAAUGAGGCGAACCGGGGGAACUGAAACAUCUAAGUACCCCGAGGAAAAGAAAUCAACCGAGAUUCCCCCAGUAGCGGCGAGCGAACGGGGAGGAGCCCAGAGCCUGAAUCAGCAUGUGUGUUAGUGGAAGCGUCUGGAAAGGCGCGCGAUACAGGGUGACAGCCCCGUACACAAAAGCGCAUGUGCUGUGAGCUCGAUGAGUAGGGCGGGACACGUGGUAUCCUGUCUGAAUAUGGGGGGACCAUCCUCCAAGGCUAAAUACUCCUGACUGACCGAUAGUGAACCAGUACCGUGAGGGAAAGGCGAAAAGAACCCCGGCGAGGGGAGUGAAAAAGAACCUGAAACCGUGUACGUACAAGCAGUGGGAGCACAGGUUUACCUGUGUGACUGCGUACCUUUUGUAUAAUGGGUCAGCGACUUAUAUUCUGUAGCAAGGUUAACCGAAUAGGGGAGCCGGAGGGAAACCGAGUCUUAAUUGGGCGUUAAGUUGCAGGGUAUAGACCCGAAACCCGGUGAUCUAGCCAUGGGCAGGUUGAAGGUUGGGUAACACUAACUGGAGGACCGAACCGACUAAUGUUGAAAAAUUAGCGGAUGACCUGUGGCUGGGGGUGAAAGGCCAAUCAAACCGGGAGAUAGCUGGUUCUCCCCGAAAGCUAUUUAGGUAGCGCCUCGUGAAUUCAUC
rnacentral:rRNA from 1 species